rnacentral:snRNA from 1 species
AGCUUUGUACAGUGGAAGUAUUAUAGCCAGAUAGGUUUAUCUGAGGCACAAUUAUUGCUGGUUGAAAAACAAAAUAGAAUGUUCCGUC